rnacentral:lncRNA from 1 species
GAUAGCCACAAAUUAAGCGAGAUAAUUUUAUGCAAAAUCGUGUUUGCAUAUAAAAGAGACAAAAUGUGAUUUGUCCAAAAGUGAAUAAGGCAAAUAUGUACCAUGUCAUUGAGGUGAUAUGAUGCCAUCUUGUGAAAGUCACGAAAGUGAUAAAAUGCCAAUGAUUGGAGAUUAGUCUCAUUCGUUGUUGAAUUGGACUUCAAUCAUGGAACUAAAUUGAAUUGGUUUAUGCUUGAAAAGCAUGGUAGGUCUAUGAGAUGACCUUGAUCAAAAUUGUGUGAUCAAAAUUAAAUAGUGGAUUGAAGCACAUUGUGAAUUAAUGAUAAAUAUCUGAAAGUAUGUAGACUUUCACGGUUAUUAUUGAAGUGAUAAGCAAAU